CCACGCUGUAAACGAUGAAUACUAAGUGUUGGAGUAAUUCAGUGCUGCAGUUAACGCAAUAAGUAUUCCGCCUGAGGAGUAUGCACGCAAGUGUGAAACUUAAAGGAAUUGACGGGGACCCGCACAAGCGGUGGAGUAUGUGGUUUAAUUCGACGCAACGCGAAGAACCUUACCAGGCCUUGACAUCCCCAGCAAUGCUAUAGAGAUAUAGUGGAGGAUAUCUGGGUGACAGGUGGUGCAUGGUUGU
rnacentral:rRNA from 1 species